rnacentral:misc_RNA from 1 species
AACGCACCUUGCGCUCCUUGGUAUUCCGAGGAGCAUGCCUGUUUGAGUGUCAUUAAAUUCUCAACUAUUAUCAGCUUUUGCUGAUGAUGGCUUGGAUAUGGGGGUUUAUUUUGCCGGCUUCACAGAAUGUCAGCUCCCCUUAAAUGCAUUAGCCGGUGCCCCGCGUGGACUGUCUAUUGGUGUGAUAAUUAUCUACGCCGUGGACAUCUACAAUCAUAUGGGUUUGCGCUGCUCCCAACCGUCUGUUUACUCAGACAAUACAUGACAAUUUGACCUCAAAUCAGGUAGGACUACCCGCUGAACUUAA